AACGGCCGUACCAUGCUGAAUAUACCGGUUCUCGUUAGAUCACCGAACCAUUGGGCGCGGUCAGUACUUGGGUGGGUGACCACCUGGGAACACCGCGUGCCGUU